CAUUAGAUACCCGCGUAGUCCCAGCCGUAAACAAUGUGCGUUAGGUGUGUCGGUAACCACGCGUUACUGAUGCGCCGAAGAGAAAUCGUGAAACGCACCACCUGGGAAGUACGGUCGCAAGGCUGAAACUUAAAGGAAUUGGCGGGGAGCACCACAACAGGUGGAGCCUGCGGUUUAAUUGGAUCAACGCCGGACAUCUCACCGGAUAAGACAGCUGAAUGAUUGUCAAUCUGAAGGUUUUACAUGACUAGCUG
rnacentral:rRNA from 1 species